GAUGAAGAACGUAGCGAAAUGCGAUACUUGGUGUGAAUUGCAGAAUCCCGUGAACCAUCGAGUCUUUGAACGCAAGUUGCGCCCGAAGCCACUAGGCCGAGGGCACGCCUGCUUGGGCGUCACACGCCGUUGCCCCCCCAUCUACUCCUUCGGGAUUGCGGGGGGGCGGAUGAUGGCCUCCUGUGCGCCUAGCCGCGCGGUUGGCAUAAAUACCAAGUCCUCGGCGACGCACGCCACGACAAUCGGUGGUUGCGAAACCUCGGUUGCCCGUCGUGUGCGUUCGUCGCGCAUCAAGGGCUCGAAAAAAUGCUCGGCUCCGGCUGGGCUUUCAACGCGACCCCAGGUCAGGCGGGGUUACCCGCUGAAUUUAAGCAUAUCAAUAAGCGGAGGA
rnacentral:misc_RNA from 1 species